rnacentral:rRNA from 1 species
CAGUCAUACCAACGGGAAAUCAACCUUUUGAGCUCGGUCUCGUGGGUUUUGAAGAGUUUCAAAGCCUUCGGAUUCGCGGGAUUGGGAUCUCUCGGUGUACUUUUUCGUACGGUUAGUCAACAUCGGUUUUGAAUGUCAUAAAAUGACUGGAGGAACGUAGCUUCGAUCUCGUAUUGAAGUGUUAUAGCCUUUGGUAGAUGUGAUGUUUGAGACCGAGGAUUGCAACGGAUACCCUUCAGGGCUAUUCGUCUGAUCUCUGAUACGUUGCCUUGAUGUUGAAAGCUUGCUUAUGAUGUUAGGGUAUUACGGUCAAAAGGUUAGAACGAAUUACA